CCUUUUUAGGGUUCUUUCUCCUAGUAUUUAUAGCUAGGAAAUCUGUCAGCUGGCGCCAAGGAUUUGAGACCACAUAGAGGGGACGCCCUCGUGAGGACGGCCAGGCCGUGGCCUUAGUUGUCAAAUUGGANNNNNNNNNNNNNNNNNNNNNNNNNNNNNNNNNNNNNNNNNNNNNNNNNNNNNNNNNNNNNNNNNNNNNNNNNNNNNNNNNNNNNNNNNNNNNNNNNNNNNNNNNNNNNNNNNNNNNNNNNNNNNNNNNNNNNUGGCCAUACCAUUUAUUAGCCAUAAAUAGACUUUAAUAAAUGCGUCGAUCUCAUUCAUUAUCAUGAGGUCAGGUUUUGACCCAUACAGAUAGUCCCUCUUCUUAUUGAGGUCGGGCUCGGGCUGAGCUCGAUGAUCGAAUUCCGACAAUAACCGUGGUUGUUUACGUGAUGAGGGCGAUCGUAACCCAUAGUUCCUCGAAAAUGGCCGUAACAAUUUUUUACUUGGGAGGUGGUCGUAGCCGUUUUUGAUUUAGAAAUGGCCGUAGCCAUUUUUAACUUCUGAGAUGGCCGUAGCCAUUUUUGAUUUGGAAAUGGCCGUAGCCAUUUUUACUUCUGAGAUGGCCGAGGCCAUUUUUACUUCGGAUAUGGCCGUAGUCUUUUGAUCUUUUAGCGGUGGCUAUAGCCGUUUUUUGAUUUAGAAAUGGCCGUAAUCGUUUUAUCUGUUGGAGAUGGCCGUAGCCAUUUUUACCUUCUGAGCUGGCCGUAGCCAUUUUUAUUUGGAGAUGGCCGUAGCCAUUUUUACUUCUGAGAUGGUCGUGGCCAUUUUUACUCCGGAGAUUGCCGUAGCCUUUUUUACUUCGGAGAUGGUCGUAGCCUUUUAUACGUGCAUGGGGAGAUCAUUUUUGAUUUGGAAGUGGUCGUAGCCAUUUUACUUCUGAGAUGGUCGUGGCCAUUUUUACUUCGGAGAUGGCCGUAGUCUUUUAUACGUGCAUGUGGAGAGUACGAUCACGCUUAUCGCGUUAUAAGGGGACCAUCAUACGCAAGGUGACGCUUGGGGCGUGCCUAUGGCACCUUGGGGUUGCCACAACUGUUUCAUAGGGGACGUACAAGUUGAAUGACCGUUCAAUGGUUUCUGUCAUGAUGGUUCCCGUUACCGUAGGUCUGAGCCGUUUUGCGGUUGGUCGGGUAGUUAAUUGUGACCUUUGGGAUUCGUGAGGGUCAUUCACUUUUUGCCUAUAAAUAAGGGGUUGUAUUGCUCAGUUCUCACUUUUCCGAUAUCUGUCUAAGUGGAACCCUGAGAGACAAGCUUUCAGAUUAUCUGGUUUUUCACCCCUUGUUGAUUCAUUCUCCGUUUUUUUCGUCGGAUCUUCAUAUUCUCUUAUUUUUCCGGUGAAUCUUACCAUCUUCUUUUGGUUAUAUUAACAAUGGAGAACAGUCCCCGUUCCGAUGUCGCUCCGGUGGCGGUUGUGGCGGAAGAGGGUCCAGUCAUUCUUGUCGGAUCUUCGUAUUCUCUUAUUUUUCCGUGGAAUUUUACCAUCUUCUUUCCGUUAUAUUGAUAAUGGCGAGCAGUUCCCGUUCCGGUGCAGUUCCGGUGGUGGUUGCGGCGGCAAAGGGUCCAUCUACGGUGGUGGGAGCCCCUGAUUCGCCGACCGUUGAUCGGUUCCCGUCGGUGACCGACAUCCUUUCCCUUCCCGGCGAUCCAACGACCGAUUUUACCAACCCUGAGCGAGAAGAUCAAGUAGACGUGGCUCCAUUGAUGGGGGAGGUUGGCUUAGCUCAACUGAGGGAGCAAUGUGAGAUUCCUCGCUUUGCCGACAUCAUCUUGGCCAGGAGCGGCGACAGGGUGCAUGUCGACCGAGGGUACUACGUCUUCUACUCCUACCCUUUCAGGCUUGGAUUUGGGCUUCCUCUCCCCUUGUUGGUGAGGAAUCUUUGCCGCUAUUACAGGGUAUGCCCUGGUCAGCUCGUCCCUCGGGUGCAUGUUGACCACCGAGGGUACUGCGUCUUCUACGCCUACCCUUUCAGGCUGGGAUUUAGGGUUCCUCUCCCCUUGUUGGUGGUGGAUCUUUGCCGCUAUUACCGGGUAUGCCCUGGUCAGCUCGUCCCUUCCUGUUACAAAUUAUUGGUGAUGCUGAUUAAAUAUGCGGAGUUGGCAUGGAGGGAAGUUACACUUGGACAAGUGUUGACUCUAUACGCUCCUCAGAGGGUACGUGGCACUAUAAUCCGGUUGGUUCCUCGUGGGACCAACGGCUUGACUGCGGAGCUCGAUGAUAAGGUCGCUACUCGUCCCUUCGAGUAUUUCUUUUACAUUAGGACUGAGCACCUGGUGACGUGUGCCACUGAUUUCCCGGCGGAGUCCAACCAUGCACGUAAGUUUCUCUUAUGCUGGCCUUGAUUUCUUUUGGGCUGAGAGUUCUGCUUUAUUUUUGUACGUAACGAUCUUCUUUUUGUGUCGUAGCGGGAGGUGCGCCACCGGCGCCAAUUUCAGGCAUCCGCGAGUGGGUUGAGGCCGUUUGUACGUAACGAUCUUCUUUUUGUGUCGUAGCGGGAGGUGCGCCUCCGGCGCUGAUUUCAGGCAUCCGCGAGUGGGUUGAGGCCGUGCUCCCUGUUACAAGGGGGAUUCGCACAUGGGCGUCUUUCUGGGAGGCCCAUGGCCGCAGGCCGGCUGCUUGUAAGAAUCUGUUUGUUGAUUAGAUUUUGAUUUUUAAAAGCUUUUUCUUCGUAAUCCUUAGCUCCGCUGACCUAACCCUUUUUCUUUGGUUGGUUAGAACAACCACGGCGCAGGAGGGCUCCUAAGCUUGCUUUCCGCAGGCCGGGGGCGAAUGCCCGAAUGAUCACAAUGCCGGCACCUUGUCCGGUUCUGAGGGCGACUUCGGUGGAGUCUUCAGCUGCACACUCUCCGGUACGGCCCGUGCCCCGAGUUGGGGAGUCUCCAGGGGUCGUACAUUCAAGGACGGAGCAAUCGCCGAAUGGAGAUGAAGAAGAAGAUGAGAGGUCGCUGGCUCGGCGCAGGGUGGUGUUCACCUCAACCCUCCCGGUGUUGAUCAGUUUAGAUUCUUCGCCGUCAGUGGAGGAGGGGGGUGUAGCGGACCUCGCACCAGAAGGUAAGCGCUCUCUGGGGGUUGCCCCGGUUGGCUUAGGCCAAGGUCAUACGGUCGCUUCUGCGGCUCAAGUUUCUAUUCCUGUUACUGCGAGGGAAGGUGGUUCCUCAACAACUGUUUUGGUAGAGACGGCAGCCGUCGACGCCACGGCGAAUAUGGGCGCGUCGACGUCACGGCGAAUAUGGGCGCGUCGACGUCUCCGACGGCGAAAGCCUCAACUUCUAGGGCGGCAGGAGAAAAGGGCGUUUUCAGGAGAGUGGGAUGAUUCGGAGUCUGAUAUGGAUCCCGAGAACAUCCGACUUGCUCAGGAGGGAUAUACCCGCUCGGCCGUGCAGGGCGAGGGGGAUUAUCGUUAUUUGGAGAUUUCUGACGGCCUGAACUUGAUGCUCGAGGAGAAGAACCUAGUGACGAUGUUCGGGGUCCUGUGCUCGGAAGCGGAGAGCAUGUCCGUGAGGGGCAUUUCGGACGUCGGACUGAUGGGCGAGGUGACCGCCCUAAGUAUAAAGGUAUGUGCAAAAAACUUUGGUUUGUUCUCUUUCUUAGCAUGUCUUCUCGUGCUAACCUUCACUUUGUUCGUCGUAGACAUUUUUGCUGGAAGUGGAGAGCAUUAGGCCGGCUAAUGCUCGUUCGGUGCUUUUUGCGCGGCUAUUGAGGAAGUAUCGCCGCUACCGUGAUCGGUGACGUGGCUUGCGUGAGCGUAAGGAACGACCCGCGGAACCGGGAGUUGGUAAAAGAGCUAGCACGGAGGAAGCUUCACUUGCAACAGACCUUCAGCAGGAUAUCCACUCUUGAGGAGCAGCUCCGCCAGGCGAACGAAGGGGUGGAUAUUGAGAGGUGGGCGGCUGCGGAGAGGGAGCGCCAAAAUCUGGUUGCAGCGGCGGAGGCCGCUGAGGCUUAUACUAGGCAGGUGGCUACCCUGGAAUCUGAGGCCGCCACUUCAAGGAGGCAGGCGGAGGACGCCCUGGCGAGGGUUGAGGCACUGCAGGCUCUUAACCGUGCCCAGGAAAGGGAGCGUGGAUUAGAGAGGGCUGACGCUGCUUUUCGAGAACGAUCGUUAGAGGGGCAUAUUGCCGUCUACGAUCGGGAUGCUCGUGCUGCGGCGGAUCGGAUUGCGGCCUCCAAGGCCGAGAACCAGCGCCUGAAGGAUCAGGCCGCUGCUUUUGGUCCUGCUCGCGAGCUUUGGACGUAUGCCGAUGCUCAGCUCCAUAUGUACAAGCUGUGUGGGAGGCUGGCAUCGUGUCUGAAGCCACUUACGAAGAGGCACGCCAAAAGGCUCGUGAAGCCCGCCUUGACUGUGGUUUUGACCCUUCUACCCCUGGGGGAGAUGAUGGCGCUGAGGGCGCUGAUAAUGCCGAGGGGGGCGCUGGGGUGCCGAGUGAAAAAAUUUAUAAUAUUUGUUUAGUUUUUGUUCUCUUUUUUCUUUUUUUUCUUUGCCGGCCUUGGGCCUAUGUAAUUGGGGGUAACCCCGUAUAAAUAUUGUGAAUAUAUGAGGUUUUCUUCUUUUUUGUCUGUUUUGUGUUGAAUACAUUAUAUUUUUUUUUGUGCCCGUUUGCAAGGGUUUUGCUUUAGAGUUCUUCUGGCGGGUAUGUUAAUAGUCUCAACCGGUUAAGUGAUCUCGACCAUUGUAUGACCGACCCUUCGCCUUAAGAGGCGAUUGAUGCGGAUGGCCUUGGCCAUAGAUAGACGCUCUUGGUCAUCACCUUCCUCCACUUGGGAGAGUGGGUAGUAGCCGUGUCUGGGCAGUGGUGGCACAUAACCUUAGACUCAGUUAGGGCUUAGUUGAACUACUGGCCGUGGUAAGGUAAAGCACGGCCUCGUAAUUCGACUUGUUGGGUUCUGGUUCGCCUCACAGUUGAAUUCUUUUGUACUUCACAGUGGUGGAAGCAUUUGGACCGACACCUACUCUAACUUGUAAUCGGACUUUUGGGUGAACGCACGUAGCCUGAGAUGUCGUUCAACCGUAGUUGAACCUUUGUAACUUUCGAAGGCGCGUAGUCUAAUUUCCAGUUCGACCGUAGUUGAACUUUUUGUGUGAAGGCACAUAGCCUGUACUGCCGUUCAACCGUAGUUGAAUUUUUAUGUGAUGGCGCACAGCCUAAGUCAAAGGCGUAUACUCUGAGUCUGAGUUCAACCGUAGUUGAACUUUCUGUAUGAAGGGACAUAGCCUGUACUGCCGUUCAACCGUAUUUGAGUUUUAUUUGAAGUUUAUGUGAAGACGCACAGCCUGAGUCGAAGGCGCAUAGCCUGAGUCCCAAUUCAACCGUAGUUGAACUUUCUGUGUGAAGGCACAUAGCCUGUACUGCCGUUCAACCGUAGUUAGAGUUUUUAUGUGAAGGCGCACAGCCUAAGUCCCAGUUCGACCGUAGUUGAACUUUCUGUGUGAAGGCACAUAGCAUGUACUGCCGUUCAACCGUAGUUGAGUUUCUAUAAUAUUAGAAGGCAUGUAUCCUGUGUCGAAGGCGCAUAGCCUGAAUUGCUGUUCAACCAUAAUUGAACUUUUAUAAUAUUUGAAGGCGCGUAGCCUGUGUCGAAGGCGCAUAGCCUGAACUGAAGGCGCAUAGCCUGAAUUGCCGUUCAACUGUAGUUUUGAAGUCAAAGGCGCAUGGCCUGAAAUGCCGUUCAACCGUAGUUGAACCAUUCUAAUACUAAAAGUUGAAGGCGCAUGGCAUGAACUGCCAUUCAACCGUAGUUAAACCAUUGUAAUAUUUGAAGUCGAAGGCACAUAGCCUGAGUCCCAGUUCAACCGUAGUUUAUGUGAAGGCGCGUAGCCUGUAUUGCUGUUCAAUCGUAGUUGAACUUUUAUAAUAUUUGAAGGCGCGUGGCUGUCCAAGGUGCAUAGCCUGAGUCCCAAAUCAACCGUAGUUGAACCUUUAUGUGAAGGUGCGUAGUCUGUAUUGCCGUUCAACCGUAGUUGAACUUUUAUAAUAUUUGAGGGCGCGUAGCUUGUGUCGAAGGCGCAUAGCCUGAGUCGUAGUUCAACUGUACUUGAACCUUUAUGUGAAGGCGCGUAGCUCAUAUUGCCAUUCAAUCGUAGUUGAACGUUUAUAAUAUUUGAAGGCGCGUAGCCUGUGUUGAAGGCGCAUAGCCUUAGUCCCAGUUCAAUCGUAGUUGAAUCCUUAUAAUAUUUGAAGGCGCGUAGCGUGUGUCGAAGGCGCAUAGCCUGAACUGAAGGCGCGUAGCUUGAAUUGCCGUUCAACCGUAGUUGAACUUUUAUAAUAUUUGAAGGCGCGUAGCCUGUGUCGAAGGCGCGUAGCCUGUGUUGAAGGCGCAUAGCCUGAACUGAAGGCGCAUAACCUAAAUUGCCAUUCAACCAUAGUUGAACUUUUAUAAUAUUUGAAGGUGCGUAGCCUGUGUCGAAGGCGCAUAGCCUGUAUUGCUAUUCAACCGUAGUUGAAUCUUUAUAAUAUUUAAAUGCGCGUAGCCUGUGUCGAAGGUGCAUAGCCUGAGUCCCAGUUCAACCGUAGUUGAAUCCAUAUAAUAUUUGAAGGCGCGUAGCUUGUGUCAAAGGCGCAUAGCCUGAAUCCCAGUUCAACCGUAGUUGAAUCCUUAUAAUAUUAGAAGGCGCGUAGCCUGUGUCGAAGGCGCAUAGCCUGAACUGAAGGCGCAUAGCCUUAAUUGACGUUCAACCGUAGUUGAACUUUCAUAAUAUUUGAAGGCGCGUAGCCUGCGUCGAAGGCGCAUAGCCUGAAUUGCCGUUCAACCAUAGUUGAACUUAUAUAAUAUUUGAAGGCUGCGUAGCCUGUGUCGAAGGCGCAUAGCCUGAACUGAAUGCGCAUAGCCUGUAUUGCUGUUUAACCGUAGUUGAAUCUUUAUAAUAGUUGAAGGCGCGUAGCCUGUGUUGAAGGCGCAUAGCCUGAGUCUCAGUUCUACCGUAGUUGAAUCCUUAUAAUAUUUGAAGGCGCGUAGACUGUGUCGAAGGCGCGUAGCCUGUGUCGAAGGCGCAUAGCCUGUGUCGAAGGCGCAUAGCCUGAGUCCCAGUUCAACCGUAGUUGAACCUUUAUGUGAAAGCGCGUAGCCGGAGCUGACGUUCAACGCAAUUGAAUCUUUGUGAUUUUUCCCACAUAACCCGCUUCGUGCUGGGGGUUGGGAUUUGCUUCUGGUUUCAGNNNNNNNNNNNNNNNNNNNNNNNNNNNNNNNNNNNNNNNNNNNNNNNNNNNNNNNNNNNNNNNNNNNNNNNNNNNNNNNNNNNNNNNNNNNNNNNNNNUUCAGAUCUUUCCUAGCUUGCAUUUGUGGUUUUUCUUGCCCGGCUCGCUCGUAUUGCCGAAGUGCUUUGAGGUACGCUUUUAUGCUGUCCUCCUUUUCGGUAGGGUCCCAUGUGGAAAGAAAAGGGGUGAGGUACCUUGAGCUCAUUCUCCAUAGAGACGGGAGAUCUGCUUCUUCUUCUUCUUCCCUUCGCUCGAAGACGAGAGGGUGUGGAAGCAAGGACUUCCCGAGUUUUGUGACUUCCUAUGACCCGAUAAGCCGCUUGGGCUCGUUUGACCUGGGUUGUUCAUUUUUCCUUUCUGGUCUAAGGAUAAACUACGCGACUCUGCUAUGAAAUACCCACAGAUGGCGCCAAUUUAUUUUGCUCAAAGUUUUCAUUUACUUUAGAAGCAUAAAACAAUCAAAAUAAACGGACGGCCAAUCAUAGCUUAUCGUAAUAAAUCCAAACACUAAAGGAAUAAAAUAUAAGAGACACCAGUUAUAGAUUAAAGGGAGGAGGAUGAAGAUCUUUUAUUAAUGAUAUUGGUUUGGUCUGCCUCUCCAUGGCGUAAUAAAUCCAAAGACUAAAGUAAUAAAAUAUAAGAGACACCAGUUACAGAUUAAAGGGAUGAGGAUGUAGAUCUUUUAUUAAUGAUAUUGGUUUGGUCUGCCUCUCCAUGGAGAGGUUCAGAAUCUUACAAUGAUGUAUUCACUCCUCUUUUUGAAAGAGAUGUGAAGAAGAAGAAGAAGCAGCCCCCUUUUUAGGGUUCUUUCUCUUAGUAUUUAUACCUAGGAGAUCUGCCAGCUAGAGCCAAGGAGUUGGGACCACACAGAGGGGAUGCCCUCGUGAGGACGGCCAGGCCGUGGCCUUAGUUGUCAAAUUGGAUAACUACCCGAUAAUCUUGUGAAUAAAUGGCCAUACCAUUUAUUAGCCAUAAAUAGACUUUAAUAAAUGUAUCGAUCUCAUUCAUUAUCAUGAGGCCAGGUUUUGACGCAUACAGGUAUAUUCCCCCACCUCCCCAAAAGAAAAGAAAAAUGAUCUAGUUUGAGUCUCUGGUCAAGCUCCUAUCCAAGAAAAAAGUACAUGAGGGGCAGUGGGCCAGAUCACUUUCAUCUGCCAGGCCAAGCCACGUGUU
rnacentral:lncRNA from 1 species